UUUGAUCCUGGCUCAGGACGAACGCUGGCGGCGUGCUUAACACAUGCAAGUCGAACGAUGAAGCCCUUCGGGGUGGAUUAGUGGCGAACGGGUGAGUAACACGUGGGCAAUCUGCCCUUCACUCUGGGACAAGCCCUGGAAACGGGGUCUAAUACCGGAUAACACUCUGUCCCGCAUGGGACGGGGUUAAAAGCUCCGGCGGUGAAGGAUGAGCCCGCGGCCUAUCAGCUUGUUGGUGGGGUAAUGGCCUACCAAGGCGACGACGGGUAGCCGGCCUGAGAGGGCGACCGGCCACACUGGGACUGAGACACGGCCCAGACUCCUACGGGAGGCAGCAGUGGGGAAUAUUGCACAAUGGGCGAAAGCCUGAUGCAGCGACGCCGCGUGAGGGAUGACGGCCUUCGGGUUGUAAACCUCUUUCAGCAGGGAAGAAGCGAAAGUGACGGUACCUGCAGAAGAAGCGCCGGCUAACUACGUGCCAGCAGCCGCGGUAAUACGUAGGGCGCAAGCGUUGUCCGGAAUUAUUGGGCGUAAAGAGCUCGUAGGCGGCUUGUCACGUCGGAUGUGAAAGCCCGGGGCUUAACCCCGGGUCUGCAUUCGAUACGGGCUAGCUAGAGUGUGGUAGGGGAGAUCGGAAUUCCUGGUGUAGCGGUGAAAUGCGCAGAUAUCAGGAGGAACACCGGUGGCGAAGGCGGAUCUCUGGGCCAUUACUGAC
rnacentral:rRNA from 1 species